UGUAUUAACCUGUCCCAAGUCCUAAGUGAAAGCAUUGUCAUUGUCUUGUUAGAUUUCCAAGUUUAAGUGAAGCAAAAUUGGCAGAAAAAUCAGUUGGAAUGGGGAUUGGACAGGCAAAAAGGCAGAAUAUAUGCAUGGCCCUGCUUGCUUGUUACAAAAUGCAAGUAAUCAGAUUACCCACAACGAGAUAUCUUUGACUUAGUGAACCCAAGUGUGCAUGCUGGAGCUGGUUAUUGUCUCCUUGUGAAGCAGUGAAAACAGCCAAACCAAUGUUGGGAUAGACACAAGCAUCGCCGAGACAAAUAUAAUGGGACCUAGGACUAAAUGAAGUUUCUGUCCUAGUGUCGUUAAGACAGCCUGUUCUUUUUUCUUGGCUCCCAUGGAAUUGCUUCGCUUAGGUCCUAAUUAUAGUCUGGUUUCUGUCGGGUACCCCCCUGUGUUGCUAUGGUAAAAGGAUAAAUCAUUAACUAAAUUUGGUUCAUUGUUAACGUCUUUAGAAUCAUAAAACUAUGAGUUCAGAUAUCAAUUAG
rnacentral:misc_RNA from 1 species